GACGAACGCUGGCGGCGUGCCUAAUACAUGCAAGUAGAACGCUGAAGGAGGAGCUUGCUUCUCUGGAUGAGUUGCGAACGGGUGAGUAACGCGUAGGUAACCUGCCUGGUAGCGGGGGAUAACUAUUGGAAACGAUAGCUAAUACCGCAUAAGAGUUGAUGUUGCAUGACAUUUGCUUGAAAGGUGCAAUUGCAUCACUACCAGAUGGAGCUGCGUUGUAUUAGGUAGUUGGUGGGGUAACGGCUCACUAAGGCGACGAUACAUCGCCGACCGGAGAGGGUGGGUAGCCCGCCUGGGACGGUGACACGGCCCAGACUCCCUGCGGAAGGAGCCAGAGGGAAACGUCGGCAAUGGGCGGAAGUCUGAGCGAGCAACGCCGCGGGAGGGUAGAAGGUUGUCGGGUCGGAAAGCUCGGUUGUAAGGGAAGAAAGAGUGUUAGAGUGGAAAGUUCACACUGUGACGGUAUCUGAUCAGAAAGCGACGGCUAACUACGUG
rnacentral:rRNA from 1 species